rnacentral:misc_RNA from 1 species
GAAAGCAUUCUAUGAGAAAAGAAAGCUCAAUAUUGAGACCAAUAAGACUAACAACCGAGACAAAGAGAAUGUGUAUGUAACUAAUCAAGAAAAGUUCCACAAAGAAGCUGACAAACAGUAUUGGAAAGCCAUAGCGGAGCUCAUUCCUAAUGAGGUUCCGAAUAUUGAGAAGAAAGGAAGGAAGAAGGAUCAAGAGAAGAAGCCGUCCGUCACAGUCCUCCAAGGUCCCAAACCUGGAAAACCAACCGAUCUUUCAAGGAUGCGUCACAUCUUGGUGAAGCUUAAGCACAACCCACCACCUCAUAUGCUGCCCCCACCACCCGCACCUGCCAAAGAUGACAAAGCUGGGAAGGAUGGGAAAGAUGCUAAGAACACUAAAGAUGCAGCACCUGCUACCGGAGACAGCGUACCUGCUAGUGAAUCCACUGUUGCUCAGGCAAUUUCUCAGACAUUAGAACCUGCUGCUACUGCAGAGGUCUCUUUAUUCUCUUGAGGGACAAGAAAACAUCCAUUUUGGGUACUCCGUAUUGUAUGCCUUGCUAACAUUUCAUUGAUUCGGUGAAUGCAGCUGCAUUUUGUUAUUCUAAAACAUCAAGAUCUUUU